UACGGGGGGGGCAAGCGUUGUUCGGAAUUACUGGGCGUAAAGGGCUCGUAGGUGGCCAACUAAGUCAGACGUGAAAUCCCUCGGCUUAACCGGGGAACUGCGUCUGAUACUGGAUGGCUUGAGUUCGGGAGAGGGAGUGCGGAAUUCCGGGUGUACGCGGUGAAAUGCGUAGAUAUCCGGAGGACACCGGUGCGAAGGCGGCUCCUGGACCGACACUGACGCUGAGGCGCGAAAGCUAGGGGAGCAAACGGG
rnacentral:rRNA from 1 species